rnacentral:rRNA from 1 species
CCUUCGGGGUACUCGAGUGGCGAACGGGUGAGUACACGUGGGUGAUCUGCCCUGCACUUUGGGAUAAGCCUGGGAAACUGGGUCUAAUACCGAAUAGGACNANNNNCUUCAUGGUGNGNNNUGGAAAGCUUUUGCGGUGUGGGAUGGGCCCGCGGCCUAUCAGCUUGUUGGUGGGGUAAUGGCCUACCAAGGCGACGACGGGUAGCCGGCCUGAGAGGGUGACCGGCCACACUGGGACUGAGGUACGGCCCAGACUCCUACGGGAGGCAGCAGUGGGGAAUAUUGCACAAUGGGCGCAAGCCUGAUGCAGCGACGCCGCGUGAGGGAUGACGGCCUUCGGGUUGUAAACCUCUUUCAAUAGGGACGAAGCGCAAGUGACGGUACCUAUAGAAGAAGCACCGGCCAACUACGUGCCAGCAGCCGCGGUAAUACGUAGGGUGCGAGCGUUGUCCGGAAUUACUGGGCGUAAAGAGCUCGUAGGUGGUUUGUCGCGUUGUUCGUGAAAACUCACAGCUUAACUGUGGGCGUGCGGGCGAUACGGGCAGACUAGAGUACUGCAGGGGAGACUGAAAUUCCUGGUGUAGCGGUGGAAUGCGCAGAUAUCAGGAGGAACACCGGUGGCGAAGGCGGGUCUCUGGGUAGUAACUGACGCUGAGGAGCGAAAGCGUGGGGAGCGAACAGGAUUAGAUACCCUGGUAGUCCACGCCGUAAACGGUGGGUACUAGGUGUGGGUUCCUUCCUUGGGAUCCGUGCCGUAGCUAACGCAUUAAGUACCCCGCCUGGGGAGUACGGCCGCAAGGCUAAAACUCAAAGGAAUUGACGGGGGCCCGCACAAGCGGCGGAGCAUGUGGAUUAAUUCGAUGNCACGCGAAGAACCUUACCUGGG